UACGGAGGGUGCAAGGCGUUAUCCGGAUUCACUGGGUUUAAAGGGUGCGUAGGUGGGAAUGUAAGUCAGUGGUGAAAUCUCCGUGCGUUAACAUGGAACUGCCAUUGAUACUAUGUUUCUUGAAUUUUCUGGAGGUUAGCGGAAUAUGUCAUGUAGCGGUGAAAUGCUUAGAUAUGACAUAGAACACCAAUUGCGAAGGCAGCUAGCUACAGGGAUAUUGACACUGAGGCACGAAAGCGUGGGGAUCAAACAGG
rnacentral:rRNA from 1 species